rnacentral:snRNA from 1 species
GUGCUUGCUUCAGCAGCACAUAUACUAAAAAAUUGGAACGAUACAGAGAUUAGCAUGGCCCCUGCGCAAGGAUGACACGCAAAUUCGUGAAGCAUUAAAAAAAAA